AAACAGUUCCCAGGCACAGAAAGGGGGAGGUAAACCUAACUCAAACUGUGCCCUCUCAUCAAAGCCUAAAUGCCCGCUAACGUGAUCCCAGUAGCUCUUAGGCAGGGAGGGCAAGAGAACACGAACACGCUCUCAAACCAACAGGUGGCCCUGUGGGCAGGGCUAGUCUUCCUGGGAGUCUAACGCCAUUGACACCUGAAGAAAACUAUCUUCCCAGUCAUGAGAACUCGGGGUGUCGAUUGAGCAGCCUCUCCUCAACAAUGGAGAUUUUUCAGAAAAGUGAGUCUGGUUUAAGGGACACAAAUCCCACAGAGUUUCUUGGCACAAUGUUUCAGUAAGCAUGAGUGAGACCCAAAAACGUCCAAUGAGAGACCAACAGGCCCCUGACCUAAGUCAGAGCUAGACUGCAGAACUCUCAGCCCAGCUCUGCAGCAGACAUCUGCGUCAUCCUCCCAGAAAUUCAACUCAGGCCACACUUCUGGCAAAAGAAGUUUCACCCUGACUGUCCUUGUUUUCAGUCAGCUGGGCUCAGUGGGAUCUAAAAACCUGGGACAGAGUGUAGAUCCAGUAGAGGAGCCCAGGCCUCUCCUCCACGCACCCCUCACUGGCACCCCUCACCAUCUCCCAUACAUUCCCUAUGGUGGUAAAGGAGAAGACAUUCAAGCAGAGAACCCCAAAUCCCCGUGUCUCCUUCCCUUCUUGGCUAUAACUUAGUGGGAUGGUUGAGAGGGAGAAGAAAUUUCAAAUGAGCCAGAUUAAGGAAACAAACAAACAAACAAAACUGAGAAGAAAUCAAGUCCCCAACAGGCACUGAAAUCAAAAUGAUUUGUUGUGGUAACAAGUCAGAGGCGAUCUGAGGACCCGACAUAACCGAAACGUCUUGGAUGCUGGACAGUCUAUAACUGGCACAUGCCAGGGAGACAAGCAAUGACAAAGCUCAAACACUAAAGGUGGGACCAUCACUGGAUUAAUCCAGAAAGGCUUCCAGAUAAGGAAGCAUUUUCUUUCUUUUUUUUUAAUCUCCCUACUUUUUUUUUUAAGUCUUUACCGCACAAAUUCUACCCCUUCACACACAUUCUUUCAAUCCCAGGACGUCUGAAGUCUUAUCUAGACAUAACUUCAGACCGUACCUAACUCCCAGUGCUGGUCGUCUCAGGUAAUAAGAUGGCAUUUCCCUGCUGUUAAUUUCUAACCUAAAAAAAGGAACAGUGACUCCUCUGAGUUCAGAGUCCUUUCCACUAGGUAUACAAAUGA
rnacentral:lncRNA from 1 species